ACAAAACUCAUGAGAAAUAGGGGAACUGGUUUGGGAUUUUUUCUCUGGUGUCUUGACCCUUUGAGUUAUUGAAAAGCCAGCUGCAGCUCAGCCCUGCACGGCGAUUCCCAUGUCUCCAGCCAGUCAUUUUGGCUCUGUAGGUGGCCUGCAGAGAAGUCCUUGUGAGUACAGGAGCAGCAGCUCACACUGUUGUGGUUUCUGUGGCAGGUUACGCGGUUUUGUCUCUAUUUCCAUCCCCAGUUCAGAUGUGUAACAAUCAGAAUCAUCAAAAUGUAAAUUACAAAACAAAAAGCUGCUGUGACAUAAUUAUAACUCUGCCCUCAGAAAGGUCAGCCUUUGGAGCUGGGAGGCCCAGAGGAGCACUGUGCCACUGUCCCAUCUGCUGGCCACCAUCCCAUCACCCACCUGGCCACUGGCAGGGGACGGAGAGGGGAGAUGUCUGUCAGGCAGGGAGUGGGUGACCUUGUGAGGUCCCCUUCGUCCUGCUCUACUCCACCACCUCUCGUUUUUGUCCAGGCACUCACUGUAGACAUCUCUGAAAGCUCUAAUCUGCAAAGCCCUGGGGGGCUCCACACUGCGCUGACUGCUAUUAUCCCCGAGACAAAGAGGGACAGGCAGGCAGAUUACCUUGGCCUUUAUUUUUUCAGCUGGGAGCAAAGAAAAGCCUUAAAUGAGCUUGCUGCCAGGGCGGGAUUGACGGGGCAGAGCCCCCAGUGCCCUGCACUCCUUCCUGUCCCCAGCUGCCGGGACCCCAUUGCCCAUCCCUCGGUCACUCCCUGCUCUGCUGCCCAGCCCCAGGGCAAGGCAAGGCUUUUCCUCAAGGCUGGACUCCUCUGUGGCUCCCCUGCAGUGUCUCAGGCCGUGUCACACCUGGGGCUGGCGUGGCCAUGACCAAACCGGCGCUCACACCCACCUGGUGCCCACCAUCUCUGUGCCCCUGGUCUCAUUGCCAGGCUGGAGGGGCGGUGGCUCCCAGGGUCCCAUCCCGGGCUCGGGGCUGUGUCCCACCCGGCCUGGCCCCGAGCCAGGGCCAGCUCCCCUCCAUAUGGUGCCCCUGGCCGGCUCCCAGCGCGGGGCAGGUGCUCCUGUCGGGACCACACAAAACCCCAUUGUCGCCUUCCCCGAGCCUUUCCCUCCCGGGCAGGGCCCGUGCCAGCCCCAGCCCUGCCGGGAAAGGCUCAGCCAGCCGGGCACACCACCUCCUGCUCUGGGUGCCCUGCAGAGGAUGCUCCCCGUGUCCCCCUGCGUCCCCAGCCCUGCUGGGUGGGCUGUGUCACCCGGCCGCUCAAGUGCUGAUGGUUUUAUGCCCAGCACUUCAUUAUUCCCCGAGUGCCAGGGCCAUGUGCUGGCGAGCGGCGCUGGCUGUGACCCGCCGAGCCCAACGCCGCCGCCGCAGCCUGGGGAGCUAAUGGCAGAAGCACACCACACGUGGAGUUUAAUUAUUGGCUUUCUUCCUCAACAGAGUACAUUGGCUGACCUUAAUGCAAUUAAUUACGGCUUAAUCAACUUCUGGUGGCUCAGCACAGCACACAGCGAUUCCUGCCUUUCCAGGAGGGUUUAUAAGAGGUUAAAGCAGUAAAGGGGAGGGUGUGGUGUUGUUUGUGGGGCUGUGUUGAUAAGUCGAGUUAAGUUAGUCAGGUAUUGGGGUAGACUUUGUGUCCUCCCAGGCUGGGCUUGUUGCUGGAUAUUCUGGUAUAGGCAGGGGAGAGGUGAGCUGGACUCAAAAGCUGUGUCUGAAGUGAUGCCUCAGCACAGAAGUGCUUGUGUUGCUUGUUUUUGGCAUCACACUGAGCUCAGGGGUGGUGGGACUGUGGCUGGGUUGUGCAUCCAGCAGCUGCUGGUGGGUGGCUCUUAGGUUUGCACCCAGAGUGCUGGAGGGGAUGUGUGGGGAGCCCUUUGCUUCCUUGAGCAGCUGACACAAGAAGUUGUUGGUCACUGAGUGUUCCUGGGCAAGAGGGAGGCUCAUCCCCUCCCUGCCCUGCAGCAUUUAAAAAUUAACAGCUCUCGUGAAUAUAACAGAGUGUCGCCAGCACCCUGGCAUGGGCCCUUGGCCUGCGCCCCAUGGCUCCUCUUGGUUUGCCUGCUGGGUGCCCCAAAAGCUUUUGGAGCCCCUAAAAGGGGAUUAGACACAGAUGUCCAACACAAAGACUUAUUUGCACACCUUGUGUUUCCAAGCCAGCAGGCACCUGUUGGCACAGCUGGUGAUGGGUGCCCUGCCCUUGGGCUGCUGGGAUGAAGUGACUCAGCCUUGGCCUUGCAGAAAGCCCUGGCAGGGGAGGUGGCCCUGUGCAAGUGGUGGCAUGUCCUGGUGAUGGUGGCAGAAACCACAGCAUGUCCUGCUAUGUACCCUCACAUCCUGCAUGCUUUGCAUCCUCCCUGUGCCAUCAUCCCAGAGCAGUUCCUGUCCCACAGUGGCAUGUGCCCCCUCUGCUGCUGUUUCUUUGGGUCCCCACGUCCCUGGCUCUGCCACCAAGCCCCUCGUGCAGGCUGCCCAGUGCUGGGACUGGGAUGUGGCAGUAGGAGCUGUGCCAGGCACUGUUACUGCCUUGUUUGCUUCUGUGCCAAGUCAUUAAUAUCAAAAAGCUAAUUAGGAUUCCACAGCCCUUCCCACCCAGGCCUUUCCUUUGGAGGCUGGAGGAUCCUUGUCUGCAGGAUUUUGCUGCAGCCCUGCGUUCAAAGGAGUCAGUUCUGCUCUGUCCCAUCCCGGUGCUUUGUGUCCCUCCCUCUGUUCCUGGCUAAUCCAUGUGGCUAAAGCCCCUCCAAGCCUGGCAAAUGGGAACUGAUAUUUGCCAAUAAUCCCUGUGCUCUCCUGGGCAGGCUUCUCAUAUUACAGGUUUAUUAAAAAAAACAGAACCCAGGCAGCAAUAACCGUGGCCCCAGGGAGAGCCUGAGCACAGAUUGUUCCUGGUCAAACCCCACCUAAGAGGAGAGUGCAGGCCCGGCCCCAUCUCCUGGAGCAUCUCUGGGCAGAGCCCAGCCCCUCUUGCAAGCACAGGAGGAGUGAGCCACAAUCCUCUUUCUCCCUUGGGAACAAGCAGGAUUCCCAUGAGUCACAGCCUAAAUCCAAUUUCUCCCUCAAAGGCUGUGGGAUAAACCCUGCUAUUGCUCACCAGGGCUCCCCAGUCCAGUGCCAGCACCCCCUGGCCUUGGCAUCUUCCCCACUGCUCCUGCACUGGCAUCUUGCAGGGACAGGACAGAGCCAGCUCCACCUGCCUGGCACCUGCUGGGACAAACAGACUCUACUACUGGUUUUUUGCAAAGCUUUUGAGGAAACUUGCCCAGAAUCAGGGAUGCUGUUUGCUGUUUCUUCCAGAACAGUAGUAGUGAUGUUGCUCCAUCCUUUCCCAAAGUCUUGCCUCCUUGAGAAUGGGUUUUUCCUGUGGGAAAUUCAAACCGCUAAAUAUGUGUAGCUGGGGGUGGGGUUUUUUUGUUUUUUUCCUGCAAAAAAUAUCAAUUUCCCUGCAAGGAGUCUCACUUCAGCUCGAAACAUUUCAUUGCAUGGACUGGGGGUUUCCUUCUGGUUUUAAGUCAACAUUUCCCCUCAAAAUGUCACUCAGGGAAAGCUGCUUUUUUUUACAGCAAAAGUCUGUGAUGACAUUUUAAGUGGAGAAGAAAAUUGCUGCUUCGUUUCAAAAUGUCAACUUUGAGUGGGGUGGGCUUAGAGUUUUGUUGUUUUUUUCUUUUUUUUUUCAUGCUGGUGUUUCCCAGGGGAAAAGCAAAGCGGUUUCAUUAGACUGAGUUACUGUUGCUCCCCCAUCGUCUCCAAAAUAAAUCUGUUUGGCUUUUUUUUUUUAACCUGUUUGCAUUUUUGUAGCAGGGAAACUUUUGCCGAGAGAAGUUGUGCUCCGGUGGGAUGCUGCCUUGGGAAGGGACAACCCUGCUGCAUCCAAACGGAGCCCUCUAUGGCAAAUUCUCUGCCACCAAACUCCAGUGAGGACCUGUGGGAGAGACUCCACUUUGGUUCCUGUGGGAAGGAUUAACAGCACAUCCAGGUUUUGAAGCUCUCCUCUCCCUGCUUUCCCUCUGCCUUGUGCUCCUGCUUUUAUUUCAUACAGCUCUCCUCGAAAAUCGCUUGUUCUAGAUUAGGCUAGAGACUGGAGUUAUCUUCCUUUUAUUUAUUAGGGUAAUUAUACCUAAUGAUUCACAUGCUCGGGGAGAGUAAUUGCUCCCAAAUACAGCGCUGGCAGUGUUCGUACCCAGCCGGGGUGCGGUGAUUCACAAACGCAUCUUUUCCUACAAUUCAUCAGCUGAUGAUCCCGUAAUUGCCGACUCGCUCUGGAGCAGUGAAGGAGCGAUCGGGACCCGGCGCUGCCCUCCGGUGUUGGGUCCCUGGGAGUGUCCCUUCCCUGCCACCCCAAUGCCCGGCACCGUUCCGUUCCUGUCUGGGUUUUGCUGGGGAUUUUGGCUGGGCCAAGCCCCUCAAACUGUGGGAUUUGUGCUUUUGAAAGAGUCACGGUGCCUAAUGUGGCAAAUUCCGUGGCACAGCCUGGCCGAGGGAAAGCCAGGGCUGUCCCCCUCUCCAUCCUCUCCAUCCUCCCAAAAAGUGGCACAGAUGUGGUUUGAUGCUCACCUCUUCACAGCUCUUGGUGACAGCCUUGGAAUUCUGACGUGGAAAGCCAAACCCCCCAGGUUUUGCACUGAUAAAAGCUUCUGUGGGGAUGGAUCCCCCUUCCUUGGGGUCUGGCAGCCCUCUGCCUACACUGCCCAGGGAGGGGACAUGUGGAGAGCCUUGCCUCAGGACUCUGCCCAUCCAGUGUGGGCAGGGACAUCCCACGAGGGAUGAUGGUCAGAGCCCACCCUUCUGCACAGCCCCAGCCCCUGGAGAAACCUGGGCACUGGGGUGGAGGAAGGCUUCUGGCAGUGUUUUGAAGAGUGUGGAUGUUCCCAGUGCUAUCCUGUGGCAUGGAAAGGCAGUCUGAGGCUUGGAAUUCCUCCUGCUGGCUUAAGGGGAGCCCGGGGUGAUGGUUCUGGGAUGGCUCAGCCCCUCUGGAGCUGCUUAAGACAACACCAUAGUGCUCAGCUGGAGGCUGCUGGCUGGCUGUGCUAUCUUGGGCCAGCAAAAAGAGUUUUUUAGUGCUGUGUGGCAACCAGAGAGUGUAUUGCCACUUUGCUGGGGGGGUUUUGUUGUUCGGUUUUUUUUGCGGGGGAGGUUGGUGUGGAGUUUUUAUUUGUCUGUCUUGGUUUUGUUUGUUGGGUUUUUUUGUUUGGUUUGGGUUUUUUUUUUCUUUUUUUUUUUUUUUUUUUUUUUAGCUAGAAGACCCUUCCCUUCUCAGUCUGGGCUGCACUGCAUGAGCCUGCACCCAGCACCCAUUCUCUCCUGCCCCAGGCACUGCUCCAGCUCUGCCAUCCCGUGGAUGCCAGAAUCGCUGCUGGGAUGUGAGCAGAAAGGCAGGGGGAGAGGAGGUGGCACAAACAGCCCUUUCUGCUGGCCACCCUUGGCUUCAUCCCCAGCACUGCCUGGGUGGGCUCCCUGCCCUGGUUGUGCCAGUGCUGCUCUCUGAGUGUUCACUGAGGAACAGCUCCCUGCUUUCCCUCCACCCACAUCCACCUCCUUAGAGGAGGAUCCAUGUUAGUGCCUGGUCCCCUGUCAAGAGCUCCUGCAGGCAGCCAGGAGCUGCUCCUAAUGGGCUGCCAGGGGAUUUGGGAUCUGACAGCUGGGUGCUGACAGCUCCCUGCAACUGCUCGCUCCAGCUGCUGGGCUCCUCUCCCUGGUAAGAUGGAGAAGGAUGCUCUGACUGCCACAGGGAGGAGGCUGGCUCCUUUUUCUCCCCUCACCAGGUGUUUGUGAUGGUGCUGGAGGGUUGUGGUGCCCACUGCCUUGGUGGGACUGGAGGGUUGUGGUACCCACUGCCUUGGUGGGGCUGGAGGGUUGCGGUGCCCACUGCCUUGGUGGUGCUGGUAAAGCCUUGGGGGACAGUGGUGGUACAAGCAGAGGGUUCCCAGCUGGAGGAGCUCCUGCAGGGUGGUGCUCCCACAUGGGCACUGUGAGAGGGAAGGAGGUCUGGGUGCUGCACAGAGCAAGUCUUGUCGCAGCCCCUAUCAGGGAGUUGGGAUGGGAGGCCCUUCUUAGCUGGGAGAGCUGGGAGCAAGUGCUGGCACCUCCUGGGGCUCCCUCUGCAGCAGCUUUGGGGCCUCCCAAGCCUUCUCCUGGCUGACACAUCGCCUCUCUCCUCUGCUUGAUGCAGGGCUCCUGUGUGUCCCCACAGACCCCAUGCAGGGGCUGGGGGGAUCCUGGGGCUCCCUGGGGUCCGGCUCCAUCCCAGCAGGGCCGUGGCAGCCCGGGCAGAGGGACUGUCCCAUCAUCCUCCAGCACGGAGCAUCUCCCAGCCUGCUGUCUUGUAUGGCUUUUUAUUCCUAUGUGAUUAUACAUCCCACUUCAUAUAGGGAUUGAAGCCGUGCACUACGCCGGGCUCCUGCGGCAGAGAGCAGCCCCUGUGCCACGGGAGCCGGCCUCAGAGGAGCCACCAGAGCUGUCCUCAGGGGCUGGAGGGGGACUGCUGGCCUCAGCCUGAGCUCAUCCUGCACCCCAGGCUCUCCAGCACUCUUGGGAUGCAGAUGAGGGGUGCCAGGCUGCUUUGGGGUGAGGCCGGCACAAGCCCACUCCUUGCACUGCAGCCCCUUGCAAGGGUGGGCCUGGUUCUGCACCACAUCUGCUGUGGAGAGCCCCAGUGACUGCACUGGUGGGCUGAUCCCUGGGGAAUCUGCUGCUCUGCUUUUGUCCCCGACUGUCCUGGGACAUGCAGGCACUGCCAGCAGCACAGGGGAGGAGGAAGAGGAAAAAGAUGCUGAGGAAUGGCCACGACAGCAAGGGCUGCCCCAGGCACGAUGCUCUUCAAGGUUUCUCAAGAGGCCUCAGCCACUCUUUCAAGGUUUGUGUUAUAUCUGUCACAUUAGCGAAAAUGGUGAAAAUUGUGGCUUGUGGAGGAGAUGAAAGGCAGCCCCUUCCAAUGCCUCCAUAAAGGAAGGGCCCCAUUAACACCUAGUGAAUUAUUGGCCAUUAAUCAGGCUCUGUGCAAAAUAAAACCAUCCACAUUUAUCAUUAUUGGAUCCUUAAUGAAGUGAUAAUGGGAAUGCUGGGGAGCUGUGAUAUUAAUGUCUUCUAAGAGGCAAGAGCAGAGCCAAGGGCGGCAGCCAAGAUUUUUAAUUUACUGCCAGAAGCUCGUGCUGUUAAUAACGCUGUUACUUCCCCCGGCCGUUAGCCCUGUUUGGCUACGAGCUGCCGACCUGGGAGAGCAAAUCAACCCUGAACACACCCAGACUUUGUUCACCUGCUCCCCACACAGCAUCUGAGCACGUUUUCCCCACCCACAGUCCCCUGCCCAUGUGUAGGGAUAUGGCUGGGGAGCUGCUGGCUAUCUUCACCCACCUGGCUCCUUCCUGAAGGCUGGCUGGUGUAGAAAGUUUUGCUUUUCUGAUAAAAAGGGAAGGGACUGUGAGCAUCAAGUCCCUGUGUCUGUUACUGUCCUCACUCUCUCUGUGACUUUUCUCCUUAGGCACAAGCACCAGAGCCAGGGUGGCACAGAGCUGGUCCCAGCACAGCCCACACACUGGGGCUGCUCAGUGUGACUGCAGCCACACUCUGGUGUCUUCAUUUGCACAGCUUUACUCUCAUGAGGGCAAUAUCCCAUCCAGGACAAGCUGCAAAGCCUGCUCAGCUGUGGUGACUCACUUGAGUUCCCAAUGGGAAAGUCAUUGCUCCUGCCAAGCCCUGCCAGCCCAGAGGCAAAUCAUUACCAGGCAGGGACCAGCAGGGAAGAUGUUGCUGUGGAGGAAAGGAGGCUGGAGGAGGACUCCACACAGAUGGCUUGUCACUGCGCUUCAUUCAUCCCCAUCCUUACACUGUACAGUGAAGCAUUGGUGCUUUCAUUUACUCCUGCUCCUAAUUAAGUGCAUCUGGGUGUCUGCAGAGGGAGCUCUCAUGAUCUCUCCGUGGCUCUAAUUAAAAUGGCCUGGAUGUCCAUGACAU